UCGACCGCCUGGGGAGUACGGCCGCAAGGUUAAAACUCAAAUGAAUUGACGGGGGCCCGCACAAGCGGUGGAGCAUGUGGUUUAAUUCGAUGCAACGCGAAGAACCUUACCUGGUCUUGACAUCCACAGAACUUGCCAGAGAUGGCUUGGUGCCUUCGGGAACUGUGAGACAGGUGCUGCAUGGCUGUCGUCAGCUCGUGUUGUGAAAUGUUGGGUUAAGUCCCGCAACGAGCGCAACCCUUAUCCUUUGUUGCCAGCGGUUAGGCCGGGAACUCAAAGGAGACUGCCAGUGAUAAACUGGAGGAAGGUGGGGAUGACGUCAAGUCAUCAUGGCCCUUACGACCAGGGCUACACACGUGCUACAAUGGCGCAUACAAAGAGAAGCGACCUCGCGAGAGCAAGCGGACCUCAUAAAGUAUGUCGUAGUCCGGAUUGGAGUCUGCAACUCGACUCCAUGAAGUCGGAAUCGCUAGUAAUCGUAGAUCAGAAUGCUACGGUGAAUACGUUCCCGGGCCUUGUACACACCGCCCGUCACACCAUGGGAGUGGGUUGCAAAAGAAGUAGGUAGCUUAACCUUCGGGAGGGCGCUUACCACUUUGUGAUUCAUGACUGGGGUGAAGUCGUAACAAGGUAACCGUAGGGGAACCUGCGGUUGGAUCACCUCCUUACCUUAAAGAA
rnacentral:rRNA from 1 species